GAUGGACGCUAGCGACAGGCCUAACACAUGCAAGUCGAGGGGCAGCACAAGGAGCAAUCUGAGGUGGCGACCGGCGCACGGGUGAGUAACACGUAUGCAACCUACCUGUAAGAGGGGAAUAACCCGUUGAAAAACGGACUAAUACCGCAUAACACUGUAGAACCGCAUGGUUUGACAGUUAAACAUUUAUGGCUUACAGAUGGGCAUGCGCAUGAUUAGCUAGUUGGUGAGGUAACGGCUCACCAAGGCAACGAUCAUUAGGGGUUCUGAGAGGAAGGUCCCCCACACUGGUACUGAGACACGGACCAGACUCCUACGGGAGGCAGCAGUGAGGAAUAUUGGUCAAUGGGCGAGAGCCUGAACCAGCCAAGUCGCGUGAAGGAUGAAGGUUUUAUGAAUUGUAAACUUCUUUUGCAGGGGAAUAAAGUGUCCGACGUGUCGGAUUUUGUAUGUACUCUGCGAAUAAGGAUCGGCUAACUCCGUGCCAGCAGCCGCGGUAAUACGGAGGAUCCAAGCGUUAUCCGGAUUUAUUGGGUUUAAAGGGUGCGCAGGCGGGUUGAUAAGUCAGCGGUGAAAGUUUGCAGCUUAACUGUAAAAUUGCCGUUGAAACUGUCGAUCUUGAGUGCAAAUGAGGUAAGCGGAAUGUGUUGUGUAGCGGUGAAAUGCUUAGAUAUAACACAGAACACCGAUUGCGAAGGCAGCUUACUGGGAUGCAACUGACGCUCAUGCACGAAAGCGUGGGGAUCAAACAGGAUUAGAUACCCUGGUAGUCCACGCAGUAAACGAUGAAUACCAACUGUUUGCGAUAUACAGUAAGCGGUACAGCGAAAGCGUUAAGUAUUCCACCUGGGGAGUACGUUCGCAAGAAUG
rnacentral:rRNA from 1 species